UACAGGGGGUGCAAACGUUGCUCGGAAUCAUUGGGCGUAAAGCGCACGUAGGCGGUUCGUUAUGUCGGAUGUGAAAGCCCUUGGCUUAACCGGGGAAGUGCAUCCGAAACUGGCGAGCUAGAGUACUAAAGAGGAUCGCGGAAUUCCCGGUGUAGAGGUGAAAUUCGUAGAUAUUGGGAAGAACACCGGUGGCGAAGGCGGCGACCUGGUCCUUGACUGACGCUGAGGCGCGAAAGCGUGGGGAGCAAACAGG
rnacentral:rRNA from 1 species